rnacentral:rRNA from 1 species
UGUUUAACAAAAGAAAUACAUAUUUAUUUACCCGAUUUAAGAAGAGCUAAAUAAUAAUUGUUUAUAGACUGAUUCUUAAAUAUUACAAAUAUUUAAAGUAAAUUUUUAUUUAGGAGUGAAAUAUUUUCAAUUCUUAAGAUAACUGGAUUUAAUUUAAAUGCAUUAAGUGCAGAAUUAUUUUUGACUUUCAAAGUGUUAAGAAUUUGAAAAAUUCUUUAAGGUUUUUUUGUUUAAUUAUAAGGAUUAAUUUUUCUAAUAAUUGUAAAGUUUAUAAUUAUUUUAUUUUUUUUUAAAAAAUUUAAAUUAAUAUGUUUUUAAAUUUAUUAUUACAUAUAUAAUGUUAAAAUAAGUAUAUAUACUAAGUCUUUUUAAGGAACUCGGCAAAUAUUUUUUUCGACUGUUUAACAAAAACAUAGCUUUAUGAUCUUAUAUAAAGUUUCUCCUGCCCAGUGAUUAUUUUAACGGCCGCAGUACCCUGACUGUGCUAAGGUAGCAUAAUAAAUUGGCUUUUAAAUGGAGUCUAGUAUCAACGGAUAAACGGAAAGUAGCUGUCUUAAGGAGAAUUUAUAAAAAUUAACUUUAAGGUGAAAAUGCCUUUGGAAUUUUAUUAGACAAGAAGACCCUUAGAAUUUUUAGAACAUUUUAUAUUUCCUUUUUGUUGGGGCGACAAGGUAACAUUUAACUUACCUAGGAAUUUUUUACAUAUCAAAAAUUUUAGUUAAGAAUAAAUUACCUAAGGGAUAACAGCGUAAUAAAUUUUUUUGUUUGUGACCUCGAUGUUGGAUUAGGAUAUGAUAAAACUAGCCGUUUUAUUAAAAAGUUCUGUUCGAACUAAUCUUCCUACAUGAUCUGAGUUCAGACCGGCGUAAGCCAGGUCAGAUUCUAUCUUUUAUUUUUUUUUAUU